AUUUAUAUAGUUUAAAAAACAUUUUAUUUUCAUUAAAAAAAAGGUUAAAGUAACCUAUAAAUU
rnacentral:tRNA from 1 species